rnacentral:rRNA from 1 species
UACGUAGGGUGCGAGCGUUGUCCGGAUUUAUUGGGCGUAAAGAGCUCGUAGGCGGUUUGUCGCGUCGGCCGUGAAAUCUCCACGCUUAACGUGGAGCGUGCGGUCGAUACGGGCAGACUUGAGUUCGGUAGGGGAGACUGGAAUUCCUGGUGUAGCGGUGAAAUGCGCAGAUAUCAGGAGGAACACCGGUGGCGAAGGCGGGGUCUCUGGG